rnacentral:misc_RNA from 1 species
UACGUAGGGGGCAAGCGUUGUCCGGAUUUAUUGGGCGUAAAGCGAGCGCAGGCGGUUCUUUAAGUCUGAUGUGAAAGCCCCCGGCUUAACCGGGGAAGGCCAUUCGAAACUGGGGAACUUGAGUGUAGAAGAGGAGGGUAGAAUUCCAGGUGUAGCGGUGAAAUGCGUAGAUAUAUGGAGGAACACCAGUGGCGAAGGCGACUCUCUGGUCUGUAACUGACGCUGAGGCUCGAAAGCGUGGGGAGCAAACAGG